UGAAAUCUGUCCAGGAGAAAUCCUUGAACAUCUUGCAUUCAGGUUGUAAAUUUCCUUAUUGCUUCAAAAAAAAAAGCUAUAAUAAACUUAUAUAACAAUGAGUGACUCAACAAUAAAUUGUGGGAUAUUAUCAAAUAAGUCAUUAUUUUAAAUGAAAUGGGGAAAAACCUUCCAGUAAUGGCAGUGGAAUAAUGUAAUGAUAUGAACCCUCCUAUUUCACAUAACAAUUACAAUAUUUUUUACAAUAUUUCAAAAAAAAUUUAAAGCCUACUUUAAAUGCUUGAAAGGAUCAUAAGUAGACAGAAGUCACUGGGGAAUGGACUGGAACUGAGUAGUGGGAUACUCUUCUGUACUGUUUGAAUUUUGACCAAGUAUGGAAUAAUUUAAAAGCUUCAGGUAUUUAACUUUCAAUCUAUUUUAUGUAUAUUAAAAUCACUUUUUAAAAAUCCCUUCUAAUCUCCUACAUGUCCUUGAAGUUAUGUUGAACAUGCUCUGGUCAUUGCAUUAAAAGUGCAUCUGUCAGGGCUGGGGUUGUGGAUCAGCGGUAGAACACUUGCCUAGCACAUGCAGGGCCCUGGGUUUGAUCCUCAGCACCACAUAAAAAUAAAUAAAUAAAAUAAAGAUAUUGUGUCCAACUACAACUAAAAAAAAUUUUUUAAAGUGCCUCUGUAAUAUCCUAGUACAUUGCUUUAAGUGUCUAACAUGUGCCAGUCCCUCUUCUAGAUGAUGGGGAUAAGUAGUUAGCAAGAUACACAAGAUCUGGGCUCUUUGGGAUUUAAAUUGUUAGAGUCUCUUGUUACAAUAGAUUCUGGUAAGCAGAAGGAAUAUGUUUGUCUGAAGGUAUCAUCUGAUAGAGAAAGGAGAAAGGGACAAGGAGGAACAAGGAUAAGCCAAAAUGCUAUUUCUCUACAUAUAGUAAAGUCUGAGAAUACUAGAAUUGGAGUGUUAAGAGUUCUGUUCUAUUUCUUGAGAUUUUGCUAAUUUGCACUCUUUUUUUCACUAACUCUUAGAAUACUUCAAAAUUUUAAUCAUCCAGUUUAUCAGUUGUUCUGAAUAUCAGUGGACUAUCAAAGUAUAAUUUAAUAGAAAGCUCUUGUUAGAAUUUUUCUCUUUUUUUCAUUUUUUUGGAAAGAGGCUUGCAGGAAGAAGAUGUCAAUUUUCAUUAUAAAUAUGACAGGUAUAUAUUGUGAAAUAGAAUUUCUUUGGCUUUCUUUUGAAUUUUUCCAUUGUUCUGUAAUUGGUAGGCAAUGUGUUAUCACCAUUUGUUUUUAUUUUUAUACCAUAGGCAAAUUGUUUAGGGCAUAAGAAUUGGAAACUUUUCUUUGUGUAUUAAGUAAUCUUUUUCAUCCAGAAAGUUCUUUCUUAUACAUAAAAAAGCUCUUAUAUGUAAGAAAGUUCUUCUUAUAUAUAAUGGAAAUAAUUUUGCUUAAUAAAUCUCCUAUUUUGUUCAUGGCACUAAUUUGCUAUGUGUAUACUGAAAUAAUCCUAAUUUUAAAAUAUCUGCUGAAAUAGGAGAACUAGGUCAAAUGGAUUUCAACUAUUACCAAAAAUUAUUUCAAAGUAUAUCUUCCUAAAAACUUACUCUAAUUUUAGGAUAUUAUCUCCUUACUUGUGAUUUAUUCUACUUAAUCCUAUGCAUGAUGUGGUUAUGCUGCUUUUCUGUACUAUACAUUCCUUUCAUUAUAUGAUCUAUGAUAUUUAUAUACUCUUUGUGGAUGUUUGGUCUCUACACUUAUUAAUAAGCAGUAUGUUUUAGUAUUUUUUUAUUUUUAAAGUCACUCUGAGAAAAUAUAAGAUAUUUCUUUUUCUCUUUUAAUUCUAAUUUGUUAUAUAUGACAGCAGAAUUCAGUUCAAUUCAUGUUACACAAAUAGAGAACAAUUUUUUAUGUCCCUGGUUGUAUACAAAGUAAAGUCACACCAUUUGUUUUCAUACAUGUACUUAGAGUACAUGUCUGCCUCAUUUCACCAUCUUUUCUACCCCCAUACCUCUUCCCUUCUUCUCCAUCCCCUUUACCCUAUCUACUCCUUGGUUUAUUACCAAAGGACGUAAAAACAGCAUACUGCAGUGAUGCAGCCACAUCAAAGUUUAUAGCAGCACAAUUCACAAUAGCUAAAUUGUAGAACCAACCUAGAACCCUUCAGUAAUGAAUAGAUAAAGAAAAUGUGAUAUAUAUACACAAUGGAAUAAUUACUCAUCAUUAAAAGAGAAUAAAAUCAUGGCACUUUCAGAUAAAUUUAUGAUAUUUCAAAAGUAACUAAAUACUAAAUAAUUCUAAAAUUAUAAUGAUCAUCAUCUCAUCUUAGGUCAUAUGGCAGUAACUCCACUGUCACUCAGUUUAAAGUACUGUUUGUUUUCCUAAAUCAUCUCAUCUAAAACAGCUUUUCUAGUGGGUUUCAGUGAUAUAAUAUUCUUUAUCCUUUCACUAAGUCGUUUUCUCCCUUCUUUCUCUUAAAAAAAAUCAACAGCUUGACCAAGUCAUCCGCCAAAGAAGCCUGUCCAGUUUGGAGCUGUUCCUCUCCUGUGCACAGAAACAGUUAAGUGCUUUAAUAGCUACGGAACCAGUUGACAUUGAAUAAAGAACAUGACAAGCUAACCCACACUGGUAUUGCAUAAAUCAUUAGACGUCUAAAAUACAUGCCAUGAAUUAUAAAGAUGCUUUUGGUUUAUUUUAUUUUUUUUCCAAGCCUUGGAGAAAUGAUUUCCAGUUCAAGGAUAAGGCAAAACAAUAUUUAGAAGAACUACCAGGGAAUUUAAUUUAUUUUCUCUUAUUUUCUCCCUUACAUUUAUUAUUUUAUUUGUAGUAGUAACAGCAACAGAGUAUAAUAUGACCCAAAAGCCAUUGAAAAAUGCCACAUUAUCAAAAGGCAAUUAAGUAAAUUUCAUAUCCUCUGGUGGCCUAUUAUACUGCCUUUGGCAAAAGAAAUAAAUAUCUUUAUGAUUGCUUUAUGAUAAUUUUUGAUAAGAUGCUAGAAUGUAAUCAUGGAUUUAUUUGAUUUCAAGGAUAGAAAUAACAUAUUUCAUCAACUAUUUACCUAUGUAAUUUGGAUGAAAUGCUGGAUAUGAUAGAGAAUUAUUCUGAUAUUACUAAACCUCUUUUCUGAAGUUGGAUCUAUAUACUUUGAUUGGUCUACUGAACAACAAAAUAGAAAUAAAAACACUAAGGAUAAUGAUAUUAAUUCCACUUUGAUCUGAUAUCCCACUUAAACUCAAGGAGUAUGUGUGAUAUAUGCUUAUUUCCUAUUUCUGCUCUUUAAAGGCAGUGUAAAUCAAUGAGGUCAUUUAUCCUAUGAAUUGAAUCAUGAACUCACUCUCUAGACAGAGAACAUAACUCAGCCACUUAUAGGAAUUCAGGUUCAAACGUAGGAUAUGUAAUAUAUGAUAUAUAUCUUUUCUCAGUACUUUGGAAUGUUAAUUCAUGAACACUGUGCUUCAGUGCAAAAUCACAAGCAUUUUAACAUCAAAACUAAAAUGUCAAUAAAAUGUAUGGAUGAAAACAUUUUGUCUUAUUUUCUGAAAUGCUUCUACUUUCAUGGGCUUAGUACUUUUAUGGGAUUUC
rnacentral:lncRNA from 1 species